AACGAACGCUGGCGGCAGGCUUAACACAUGCAAGUCGAACGCUCCGCAAGGAGAGUGGCAGACGGGUGAGUAACGCGUGGGAAUCUACCCAUCUCUACGGAAUAACGCAUGGAAACGUGUGCUAAUACCGUAUACGCCCUUAGGGGGAAAGAUUUAUCGGAGAUGGAUGAGCCCGCGUUGGAUUAGCUAGUUGGUGGGGU
rnacentral:rRNA from 1 species